rnacentral:rRNA from 1 species
AGCGAACGCUGGCGGCAGGCCUAACACAUGCAAGUCGAACGAACCUUUCGGGGUUAGUGGCGGACGGGUGAGUAACACGUGGGAACGUGCCUUUAGGUUCGGAAUAACUCAGGGAAACUUGUGCUAAUACCGAAUGUGCCCUUCGGGGGAAAGAUUAAUCGCCUUUAGAGCGGCCCGCGUCUGAUUAGCUAGUUGGUUGAGGUAAUGGCUCACCAAGGCGACGAUCAGUAGCUGGUCUGAGAGGAUGAUCAGCCACAUUGGGACUGAGACACGGCCCAAACUCCUACGGGAGGCAGCAGUGGGGAAUCUUGCGCAAUGGGCGAAAGCCUGACGCAGCCAUGCCGCGUGAAUGAUGAAGGUCUUAGGAUUGUGAAAUUCUUUCACCGGGGACGAUAAUGACGGUACCCGGAGAAGAAGCCCCGGCUAACUUCGUG